rnacentral:rRNA from 1 species
AACGAACGCUGGCGGCGCGCCUAAUACAUGCAAGUCGAGCGAGAAGGUGUAGCAAUACACUUGUAAAGCGGCGAACGGGUGAGGAAUGCAUGGGUAACCUACCCUCGAGUGGGGAAUAACUAGCCGAAAGGUUAGCUAAUACCGCAUACGUUUCCGGAACUUCGGUUUCGGAAAGAAAGCAAUACCGUGGGUAUUGCGCUCCUGGAUGGGCUCAUGUCCCUAUCAGCUUGUUGGUGAGGUAACGGCUCACCAAAGGCUUCGACGGGUAGCUGGUCUGAGAGGACGAUCAGCCACACUGGCACUGCGACACGGGCCAGACUCCUACGGAGGCAGCAGUAAGGAAUAAUUGCGCAAUGGACGAAAGUCUGACGCAGCG